GACGAACGCUGGCGGCGUGCUUAACACAUGCAAGUCGAACGAAGUGGCGAACGUGUGAGUAACGCGUAAUCAACCUGACCUUCAGAGGGGGACAACAGGUGGAAAAGAAUGCUAAUACCGCAUACUGAAGGCGGGGAUUGCGUAUGAUUAGCUAGUUGGAGGGGUAACGGCCCACCAAGGCGAUGAUCAGUAGCCGGUCUUGGAUGAUGAACGGCCACAUUGGGACUUAGACACGGCCCAGACUCCUACGGGAGGCAGCAGUGGGGAAUCUUCCGCAAUGGACGAAAGUAUGACGGAGCAACGCCGCGUGAGUGAUGACGGCCUUCGGGUUGUAAAGCUCUGUUAAUCGGGACGCGGUACCGGAAUAGAAAGCCACGGCUAACUACGUGCCAGCAGCCGCGGUAAUAC
rnacentral:rRNA from 1 species